GCUGCCAAGGCAAACUCUGCAGCGGCACGUGGGUACGGUCCAAGCACCUCCCCGGAGAGGUGUCGUAAAGGACGAUGCGGUUAGCAUUGACAUGCCAGUGACCGCUGGCCCGGAUCAGAGGGAAGAGAGAAUCUCAUGGAUUUCAUGCCGGGCUAUUUCUUUACCGUCACGCAGCAAAGAAUGGAGCGGAAGCGGCCGUGCACAGAGCAGGAGCUGCAAUACGCCUGCUGGCUGAGGAGGCUUUCUCGGGAAAUACACCAGGGACGAGAACAAGGUCAGAAUGCGGCAUCGCAAUGAUUUUCCUCCUGCAGGAGGCUCAGGGUUACAGACUAACAUUUACCCUCCCGUGCAGGUGGGUUUUAAAGCUCUAGGGUGGACGCUGAGUAGCGGCAGCAGCUAUUCCUUUGCACCAGAGACGGGUCAGAUCCUGGUGGAUCAUGAAGAUUGAACCCUCUCCUGCUCCCUCAGAGUUUGGGUCUAAACACUGUGAACCGUCCAAUCUGGAUCCAACUCCGGCUACUUCUGUGUGGAUUCCAUGAUUUCUGCGAACAUCUCGUCUCGUGUCUUCUUUUUCCGACGCCUUAUCUGAGAUAGCCUUCGGGACGGAGGAGGGAAGCUUGAAGAAUUUGCAGCUGCUGGAGGGAGGGAAAAAAGGAGAGAAUUUUUUAAAAAGAUACAUUUUGCAGAAUAAUGCUUAUACUCUUUCACGGUAGAGAUCACAGACGCAGGUCCUGGCAACAGAAUUCGGCUUGCAUGCGGCCAUGGUUACCAUGAGCGAUAUCACUCUCCUGAGGAUUACACAACAAGAUAAAGAACGGAUGUUGCUUGAAUGCCAGCAAACACCGGGACCAUACGCUGCCAGGCUUUGUCAGGCAAUGAUACCAGAUUACUUGCUGCAAGCAUGGCGUGGUCAAGUGUCCUACCAUGGAGGAGGGAAUAAGGAUGCACUGCCCAGAAACCUUGUGGCAAGGCUUUCGGAGUACCUCCAGGAGAGCUUCAUGGAGAUGUCCCUGGAGGAUUUCCGCUCCGUCCCCAGACACGUUAACAGACUUUUCCAGUAGCUGUACUGGCUGCGAAUGCAUCCCAAGUCCUCAGGGCAAAGUAAUCAUUAAAAAACGCUUGCU